UCUUGUGCAAUGAACGAAAGUAUGACACAGAGAGGACACAUUUAUUUGAGCCCGUCAAAUUAAGUGCCAGCCGACGCGGUUAGACUUAAGGGCUGGUCUUUAUAAGUAAAGGCGUAAAGGAUGUGUAGGCCAAGAAUAUCCAAGAAGGUAAUGGAAUUUUUCUGGAGCGGUAGAAUGUGAGGAUAGAAAAUAGAACUCCUAAGGUUAACUAUUACCACAAGAUAGGCUGAAACAUGAAAGUGUGGGGAGCAAACAGGAUUAGAGACCCUGGUAGUCCACACUGUGAACUUUGAAGAUGAUGCUUAGCAGACCCGAAAGGUAAAAUCUUCCGCCUGAGUAGUACGAUCGCAAGAUUAAAAUUCAAAAACUUUGGCUGUUCACUAUUUCGAUUAGAGGAGCGUGUAGUUUAAUUCGAUGGUCCGCGUGUUACCUCACCCCAGCUUGAAUCCGUGACCGGUAUUGCAUGGCCGUCGUAAGUCCGUGUGUUAAGCUAGAAGGGACCCAACCCGGGCACCUGCCCGGAGGAAGUCAGGUCUUAUGAUCCGAAUGUUGGGGGAUUGUAUGCGCUACAUUUUCUUAUAUAAUGGGAGACCUGGAAGGUGAACCUCUAAAGUAAGAGUUCGGAAGGUUGCUGUAAGACGACUGGAAGUUGAAUUUAAUAGUAAUCGGAAAGUAGGGCGUUCCGGUGAAUUGGUGUAAGUGUUAGCACAAAUUGCCCGUCACCUUUACCUAGAAUGGUU
rnacentral:rRNA from 1 species